UACAGAGGUCUCAAGCGUUGUUCGGAUUCAUUGGGCGUAAAGGGUGCGUAGGCGGCGCGGUAAGUCGGGUGUGAAAUCUCGGAGCUUAACUCCGAAACUGCAUUCGAUACUGCCUUGCUUGAGUACUGGAGAGGGAACUGGAAUUUACGGUGUAGCAGUGAAAUGCGUAGAGAUCGUAAGGAAGGCCAGUGGCGAAGGCGAGUUCCUGGACAGUGACUGACGCUGAGGCACGAAGGCCAGGGGAGCAAACGGG
rnacentral:rRNA from 1 species